UUAGGCAGGGGAAAUCCAGAGAAGGCGGGGUCCUGGAAGCCGGGUGAAGAAAGUGUACCAGGCAGGAGGGAGGAGAAGUUUGUCAGGCACGACUGAGAGAGUGUAAUAAGAUGAACUGCUAUUUAAUGUGACUGGAGCUCACUCAACGAUGAAACUCUGAAGAGGGAGCAAAUCUUUCUGCCCGAGAGGAGAGGGCAGAGCCUCGUAGGAGUGGGCCUUAGCAAGCUCUAUCCACCUUGUCCACCAAAGGCAUUUCCACAAACACAGCUCCUGCAUGCAAGGUGCAUCCAUCCUGGCCGAACCUGUCAGGACUGUGGAGUCUGGCUCCCAGCAGGGGCUCCAGCGGCUGAUGAACAAACCAUGUGACUCUCGCAAGCCGUCAUUCUUCCUGUAAAUCACCUGCCACCUGAUCAAGGCCCAGAAGAGUCGCCACCUACGUCAUCCUGAGCAAUCUUAUAUUAAAACAAUGAACCACAGAGAGAUGGAGGAAUUUAACCCACUGUUUGGUGUGUUCAAUUCUGGCCUCUGUUGAGUGGGUGAUGACAUGUGCCAUCUUUUAAAGCAUAUAGAACCCCCAUUGUCCCCAAGUACAAAUGCAAAGCAUUAUCCUCAUCAUACGUAACAAGACAAGCCCACCUGGUUGUGUAAUAAGUGGUUUAGUGACCAUUAGAACCAGAACUCCACAGCGACUUGUGUGAGGACCAGCAGCCUCAGGUGGCCUGGGAGCUUGAUAGAGACGCACUUUCUUGGGCCUCCCCAGACCUGCUGGAUUAGAAUAUGCAUUUUAACAAGACCUGCCCUCCCUCACCCCUGUUAGUCACUUGCACGUUAAAGUCUGAGAAGCGCUAAUUCAGAAACAUGCUCAGCUUUAUAGACAAAAUGUCUACAGUUCCUGAUACUUUUCAUAUUAAGAAAGAAAGGGCAGGGUGAGGAGUGGAUUUGGCUGGCCUACACGUUUACAACAGAGGAGGCUGGUUCAGGGUGGGGGCCUGGCUUCAGAUCCCUCUGCUUGACCUGGAUGACCUCCUAACCUUUCCAAGAUUCAGCUUCCCCUUAUCUGUGAAAUGGGAUGAGUAACAGCACUUACCCAAGAAGGCGGCUCUGGGGAUUAAAUGAGAAUAUACCUAUAGAAAGGCCUUACUACCUGUGAGCUGCUAUGAUUUUGCAUCAUCAAAAUAACUACCAUUUAUUGUGUGUUCAAUACUGUGCAAAGAUCUUUAAACCACAGUGGGAGGUAUUACCAUGUUAUCAAAGAGGAGACAGAGGGUCAGACUGGGUCAGGAUCUUGGGUUGAGAUUUUGGCUCCCUAAGGCUAGCAGUGUUCUUUCUCCCAAGUCCCAUUAUCUCCUGAAUUCUAGGGAAGAACUGUGAGACGCCAAGCAAGGAGGAAACAAAAUUUGUGUGUUGUGGAUAUUAGGACACAAUGUGACAUAGAGUAACCCAUGAAUUGCCUGUGCAUAUCCUUUGCCAAUUUAUAUUUUCCUUGUUGCUUUGUAACUAGUCCAUCCACACAGAGUGCCUUGAACAAUGCCUGCUCCUUUGUAAAUAUUUAAUAUUAACUAUGUUUGGAGUUCUCCAAUUAAUACCAAUAAAGGAUACCAAUAAAAAUACCAAUCCACUUUUCAAUGACAUGCAUUUCAAACAUCU